UACAGGGGGUGCAAACGUUGCUCGGAAUUACUGGGCGUAAAGCGCACGUAGGCGGCUUUCUAAGUCGGGGGUGAAAUCCUGGAGCUCAACUCCAGAACUGCCUUCGAUACUGGAAAGCUCGAGUCCGGGAGAGGUGAGUGGAACUGCGAGUGUAGAGGUGAAAUUCGUAGAUAUUCGCAAGAACACCAGUGGCGAAGGCGGCUCACUGGCCCGGUACUGACGCUGAGGUGCGAAAGCGUGGGGAGCAAACAGGG
rnacentral:rRNA from 1 species